GCGCGGGUGGCGGAAUGGCAGACGCGCUAGCUUGAGGUGCUAGUGCCCUUCGGGGCGUGGGGGUUCAAGUCCCCCCUCGCGCA
rfam:Streptacidiphilus jiangxiensis strain CGMCC 4.1857 genome assembly, contig: Ga0104467_114